UAUGCAGCAGCUGAUGAGAGAACGACAGCAGAUGGCCAGUCGUCCCUUCGCUUCGGUUGCCGUGGCGCUGGAGGUGGGCGGCAACCAAGAGGAGCUGCAACAGAUGUUCAGGAUCCUCUGCUGUUGAGAAACGAUUACUUCCUGGAGGCGUGACCUGUGGUGAUCCUGUCAGUAACGUUGGCCUGUGCCGGGGUGCCGAAGCUCGUUGCCAUGGAGCCGUGCUGGGGCAGCCGAGCAGGAGUCCUCACUGUGCUGCUGCAUCUCCCAAGACUCCCGUCUGGAAUACCUCCACCUGGACAGUCUGGUAUGAUCCGCACACAACGAACUGACCCACAUGCCGCACAUCACAGCGCAGGCACAUCAUCUGAAUGUGCUGCUGAUAAAUAAGCUGUCAAUAAUCACGAUAAAAUGAAUUUUCCUGAUGAAAUGAUGGGAUUUAUGUAGGACAUAGAGAAUUUGCCAUUUUUUGCAAAAUAAAGUCCUUAAAAUCA